rnacentral:lncRNA from 1 species
GAGUGCUGGGUCGGGCUUCCAGCUCCCUACAACGCAGACCAGUACUGGAGUUCGUGGUGCUGGAAGACCGCCGCCCGACUCUGGGCCCCGGGUAGGAAACAACAAUUUCGGACCUCCUGGGGUCUAUGCUAGGUAUGAGGUGUAUCUUUGCCCUCCAUCAAGUAGCAAAGAUGGACAUGUAAACAAAUUUCGACACUGUGAUGACUGCCACAAAAAGCAGCAUUAUGAGGUUGAAUGUAAAAGGAUAACCUUAGCGGCGGCGGGGGCCGGAGGAUGAAGGAAGGCUUCCUGAGGUAGGCGCUGGUUGAAACUGAAGUUGGAGAGAGCAAGUGGCAUUUGCUGAAGUGCAUUUCCGGUAGAAAACUCCAGUGGUCCCUCACCUGACUGAGUGGCGCAGUCAGAGAUAAAUGGAACAGAGUCUACAAAUAAACAUUUUAUAAAGAUGAUCCUUCAAUACAUAUUCUACAGCCCAGUUAAAAUGUGAGAGGCCAUGAUCUACAGACAGCCAUUUAUAAAGGUGGAUCAGGGCCGGACACGGUGGCUCAACGUCUGUAAUCCCGGCACUGUGGGAGGCCAAAGCGGGAGGAUCGCUUGAGCCCAGGAGUUCGAGACCAACCUGGCCAACAUGGUGAGACCCCAUCUUUACAAAAAAAUAUAUAUAUCCAGGCAUAGUGGUGUGCACCUGUGGUCCUGUGGUCCCAGCUACUCAGGAAGCUGAGGCAGUUGAGGCUGCAGUGAGCCACGUUCUGGCCACUACACUCCAGCCUGGGCAUCAAAGUGACAAGACCAAAAAAAAAAAAAAAUGUGGAUUGGAAGGAGGCAAGAAAGAAGUCAGGAAAAGGGUGGAAUGUAAGUCCCUAAGGACACAAUCUUACUCACAAUUGUAUCUCCAACAUUUGGCAUAAUGCCUAAUACGUAAGUAUUUUAUGAAUUAAUUAAACGAGAACACAAGCCUAAAUUAAGGCAAUGGCAAUGGAGAAGAAGAAACCAACUUGAGAAAUAUUUAAAGGUCAUUGUCAAUGGAACUUAGUGACUUUAAUGGUUAAUUUUAUCUAUCAACUUGGCUAGGCGAUGCUACCCAUGUUACUCAGUUUUUGGUCAAACACUAGUCUAGUUGUUGCUAUGAAUUGUAUUUGUUAGAUGUGAUUAACAUUUAAAUCAGCAGACUUUGAUUAAAGUACAUUACCCUCUAUAAUGAGGGUGGGCCGCAUCCGGUCAGUUCAAAUUAAAACGAGACCCUUAAGAAGAAGCAAUUCAGCCUCCAGACUGCAGCGUCAAAUCUCCCUGGGUCUCCAGGCUGUUUGUCUGCCCUGCAGAUUUCAGACUUGCCAGCUCCCAGAAUAAUGUGAGCCAAUUCCUUAAAAUAAAUCUCUUUCUGCAUAUACAAAAAAAAAAAAAAA